AUGUUUACUAUGGGCUUAGACGUUGAUAGGCGUGCCUACUUCACCGCGGCUACCAUGAUCAUAGCUAUGCCCAUAGGAAUCAAAAUCUUUAGUUGGAUCGCUACCAUGUGGGGAGGUUUGAUAUAAUACAAAACACCCAUGUUAUUUGUUGUAGGGUUCAUCUUUUUGUUCACCAUAGGAGGGCUCACUGGAAUAGUUCUAGCAAACUCUGGGCUAGACAUUUCUCCCGAGGAGAAAGGGGGCUCGGUAGGAAGAGGCUUCCCCUAG
rnacentral:rRNA from 1 species